rnacentral:rRNA from 1 species
AACGAACGCUGGCGGCAUGCCUAACACAUGCAAGUCGAACGAGACCUUCGGGUCUGCUCGCGCACUGGUGCGUAACCCGUUGGAUCCUGCCCUUAGGUUCGCCAUAACUCCCCGAAUAGGGUGCUAAUACCGGAUAUUGUCUUCCGUCCGAAGAUUUGUCGACUUUGGGUGGUCCCGAGUUGGAUUAGUUAGUUGUUAGGGUAAACGCGUACCAAGGCGAGGAUCCAUAGCUGGUAUGAGAGGAUGAUCAGCCACACUGGUACUGAGAAACGGCCCAGAAUCCUACGGGAGGGAGGAGUGGGGAAUAUUGGAAAAUCGGCGAAAGGAAGAACCAGCAAUGACGGGUGAGUGAUGAAGGUCUUAGGGAAGUAAAGCUAUUUUACACGGGAUGAUAAUGACAGUACCGGGAGAAUAAGCUCCGGCUAACUCCGUG